UACAGAGGCCUCGAGCGUUAGGCGGAAUCACUGGGCUUAAAGCGUGUGUAGGUGGAUGCCUAAGUGCCUUGUGAAAUCCCAUGGCUUAACCAUGGAAUUGCUUGGCAUACUGGGUGUCUUGAGCCACUCAGGGGCUACUGGAACAAACGGUGGAGCGGUGAAAUGCGUAGAUAUCGUUUGGAACGCCAAUGGUGAAAACAGGUAGCUGGGGGUGUGCUGACACUGAGACACGAAAGCCAGGGGAGCAAACGGG
rnacentral:rRNA from 2 species